CUCCGGGGGUAGAGCACUGUUUCGGCUAGGGGGCCAUCCCGGCUUACCAACCCGAUGCAAACUGCGAAUACCGGAGAAUGUUAUCACGGGAGACACACGGCGGGUGCUAACGUCCGUCGUGAAGAGGGAAACAACCCAGACCGCCAGCUAAGGUCCCAAAGUCAUGGUUAAGUGGGAAACGAUGUGGGAAGGCCCAGACAGCCAGGAUGUUGGCUUAGAAGCAGCCAUCAUUUAAAGAAAGCGUAAUAGCUCACUGGUCGAGUCGGCCUGCGCGGAAGAUGUAACGGGGCUAAACCAUGCACCGAAGCUGCGGCAGCGACGCUGAUGCGUUGUUGGGUAGGGGAGCGUUCUGUAAGCCUGCGAAGGUGGCCUGUGAGGGUUGCUGGAGGUAUCAGAAGUGCGAAUGCUGACAUAAGUAACGAUAAAGCGGGUGAAAAGCCCGCUCGCCGGAAGACCAAGGGUUCCUGUCCAACGUUAAUCGGGGCAGGGUGAGUCGACCCCUAAGGCGAGGCCGAAAGGCGUAGUCGAUGGGAAACGGGUUAAUAUUCCCGUACUUGGUGUUACUGCGAAGGGGGGACGGAGAAGGCUAUGUUGGCCGGGCGACGGUUGUCCCGGUUUAAGCGUGUAGGUGUGUGUUCCAGGUAAAUCCGGUUCACUUUAACACUGAGGCGUGAUGACGAGGCACUACGGUGCUGAAGCAACAAAUGCCCUGCUUCCAGGAAAAGCCUCUAAGCAUCAGGUAACAUCAAAUCGUACCCCAAACCGACACAGGUGGUCAGGUAGAGAAUACCAAGGCGCUUGAGAGAACUCGGGUGAAGGAACUAGGCAAAAUGGUGCCGUAACUUCGGGAGAAGGCACGCUGACACGUAGGUGAAGUGAUUUACUCAUGGAGCUGAAGUCAGUCGAAGAUACCAGCUGGCUGCAACUGUUUAUUAAAAACACAGCACUGUGCAAACACGAAAGUGGACGUAUACGGUGUGACGCCUGCCCGGUGCCGGAAGGUUAAUUGAUGGGGUCAGCGCAAGCGAAGCUCCUGAUCGAAGCCCCGGUAAACGGCGGCCGUAACUAUAACGGUCCUAAGGUAGCGAAAUUCCUUGUCGGGUAAGUUCCGACCUGCACGAAUGGCGUAAUGAUGGCCAGGCUGUCUCCACCCGAGACUCAGUGAAAUUGAACUCGCUGUGAAGAUGCAGUGUACCCGCGGCAAGACGGAAAGACCCCGUGAACCUUUACUAUAGCUUGACACUGAACAUUGAGCCUUGAUGUGUAGGAUAGGUGGGAGGCUUUGAAGUGUGGACGCCAGUCUGCAUGGAGCCGGCCUUGAAAUACCACCCUUUAAUGUUUGAUGUUCUAACGUGGACCCGUGAUCCGGGUUGCGGACAGUGUCUGGUGGGUAGUUUGACUGGGGCGGUCUCCUCCUAAAGAGUAACGGAGGAGCACGAAGGUUGGCUAAUCCUGGUCGGACAUCAGGAGGUUAGUGCAAUGGCAUAAGCCAGCUUGACUGCGAGCGUGACGGCGCGAGCAGGUGCGAAAGCAGGUCAUAGUGAUCCGGUGGUUCUGAAUGGAAGGGCCAUCGCUCAACGGAUAAAAGGUACUCCGGGGAUAACAGGCUGAUACCGCCCAAGAGUUCAUAUCGACGGCGGUGUUUGGCACCUCGAUGUCGGCUCAUCACAUCCUGGGGCUGAAGUAGGUCCCAAGGGUAUGGCUGUUCGCCAUUUAAAGUGGUACGCGAGCUGGGUUUAGAACGUCGUGAGACAGUUCGGUCCCUAUCUGCCGUGGGCGCUGGAGAACUGAGGGGGGCUGCUCCUAGUACGAGAGGACCGGAGUGGACGCAUCACUGGUGUUCGGGUUGUCAUGCCAAUGGCACUGCCCGGUAGCUAAAUGCGGAAGAGAUAAGUGCUGAAAGCAUCUAAGCACGAAACUUGCCCCGAGAUGAGUUCUCCCUGAGACUUAGAGUCUCCUGAAGGAACGUUGAAGACGACGACGUUGAUAGGCCGGGUGUGUAAGCGCAGCGAUGCGUUGAGCUAACCGGUACUAAUGAACCGUGAGGCUUAACCUUACA
rnacentral:rRNA from 1 species